AUAAAGAUGGCAGAAAAGUGCAUUAGGUUUAGAACCUAAAUAUAAAGACAUAAAUUCUUUUCUUUAUA
rnacentral:tRNA from 1 species